CAAAAAAAGCCUCUAGUGAGUGUCGUGGCGGCCCGUACCCCAAACCGACUCAGGUGGUCAGGUAGAGAAUACCAAGGCGAUCGGGUGAACUGUGGUUAAGGAACUCGGCAAAUUGCCCCCGUAACUUCGGGAGAAGGGGGGCCUCCGCUGGUGAUCAGACUUGCUUUGUGAGCUGGUGGGGGUCGCAGAGGCCAGGGGGAAGCGACUGUUUACUAAAAACACAGGUCCGUGCGAAGUCGUAAGACGAUGUAUACGGACUGACGCCUCCCCGGUGCUGGAACGUUAAGGGGACCGGUUAGCGCACUUCGGUGUGCGAGGCUGAGAACUUAAGCGCCAGUAAACGGCGGUGGUAACUAUAACCAUCCUAAGGUAGCGAAAUUCCUUGUCGGGUAAGUUCCGACCUGCACGAAUGGCGUAACGACUUCCCCGCUGUCUCAACCGCAGACCCGGCGAAAUUGCACUACGAGUAAAGAUGCUCGUUACGCGCAGCAGGACGGAGAGACCCCGGGACCUUCACUACAGCUUGACAUUGGCGUUUGGAACGUCUUGUGUAGGAUAGGUGGGAGACUGUGAAGCUGUCACGCUAGUGGCGGUGGAGUCAUUGGUGAAAUACCACUCUGGUCGUUUUGAACGUCUAACUUCGGUCCGUGAUCCGGAUCAGGGACAGUGUCUGGUGGGUAGUUUAACUGGGGCGGUUGCCUCCUAAAGAGUAACGGAGGCGCCCAAAGGUUCCCUCAGCCUGGUUGGUAAUCAGGUGUCGAGUGUAAGUGCACAAGGGAGCUUGACUGUGAGACCGACGGGUCGAGCAGGAGCGAAAGCUGGGACUAGUGAUCCGGCGGUGGCAUGUGGAAGCGCCGUCGCUCAACGGCUAAAAGGUACCCCGGGGAUAACAGGCUGAUCUUCCCCAAGAGUCCAUAUCGACGGGAUGGUUUGGCACCUCGAUGUCGGCUCGUCGCAUCCUGGGGCUGGAGUAGGUCCCAAGGGUUGGGCUGUUCGCCCAUUAAAGCGGUACGCGAGCUGGGUUUAGAACGUCGCGAGACAGUUCGGUCCCUAUCCGCUGCGCGCGCAGGAGACUUGAAAGGAGCUGUCCCUAGUACGAGAGGACCGGGACGGACGAACCUCUGGUGUGCCAGUUGUUCCGCCAGGAGCAUGGCUGGUUGGCUACGUUCGGAAGGGAUAACCGCUGAAAGCAUCUAAGCGGGAAGCUCGCCUUGAGAUGAGGUCUCCCACCACGAAAGUGGGUAAGGCCCCCGGGAGACGACCGGGUUGAUAGGCCGGAGGUGGAAGCAUGGUAACGUGUGGAGCUGACCGGUACUAAUAGGCCGAGGACUUGACCCU
rnacentral:rRNA from 1 species